GCCUUCGUAGUGUAACGAUAACAUACUCGACGCGUAUUCGAGAGGUCCAGGUUCGAGUCCCGGCGAGGGUA
rnacentral:tRNA from 1 species